CACGGGGGUUGCGAGCGUUGUCCGGAAUUACUGGGCGUAAAGCGUGCGUAGGCGGUUUGUUAAGUCGGAUGUGAAAGCCCCGGGCUCAACCUGGGAUGUGCAUCCGAUACUGAUAGGCUAGAGUGUAGCAGAGGAAGGUGGAAUUUCCGGUGUAGCGGUGAAAUGCGUAGAGAUCGGAAGGAACAUCAGUGGCGAAGGCGACUUUCUGGGCUAACACUGACGCUGAGGUACGAAAGCGUGGGGAUCAGACAGGAUUAGAUACCCUGGUAGUCCACGCUGUAAACGAUGUCAACUAGCCGAUGGAGAUCUUGUAUCUUUGGUGGCGCAGCUAACGCAUUAAGUUGACCGCCUGGGGACUACGGCCGCAAGGCUAAA
rnacentral:rRNA from 1 species